rnacentral:lncRNA from 1 species
UGUCAUUUUUUAUUGAAGGCAAGUCAGGUAUAUGAAUGGAUUGCCUCAAGAUUUUGAAUUCAGAAAGGAAUUUUCCUUUCAUACAUCUAAUUGAAUCAUCAUCCUUGCCUUAUGAAAUUUACUUAAAUUGUUUAAUCAAACAAACACAAGUUUAAAUUCAACCAAAACCCAUUUUAAAAAAUCUUAAUCUUCUAGAAAAGAAAGUAACACAGAUGGUUUUCAGAUCAGUUAUAUUACAAGCAGUAUCGAAGAACACAAACCCAAGGAGAAUUACGUUAACAUCGAAUUAAUUGAAUCAUACCUUAUCUAAGAAAAGUUAGAAUAUAGGCAAGUCAGGUAUAUGAAUGGAUUGCCUCAAGAUUUUGAAUUCAAAAAGGAAUUUUCCUUUCAUACAUCUAAUUGAAUCAUCAUCCUUGCCUUAUGCUUCCUUUGAAAUAAAUAUAUAAAUAAACCGAACACAAUAAUAAACAACUCUAGAACAAACAAAAAACGAGUCGUGAAAUGUUCCCACCAGAGACAGAAGCACUGAUAUAAGACCCAACAAAGGAGUUGAACUCACAUUAGUUGAAUCUAAAGAGGGCAUACUGGGAAAUUCCCAGUAGCCAUAGAGAUCAACAAAAAUGGAGAUUCAAACUCCAGUGUAAUACAAAGGGUUCAAUGAAUCUUGAUAAGAAAAAGGUGGAAGAAAGAUGACUCAAAGGGAAACCCCAAAGAGAAACCUCAAAGCGUGUUGAUAUGGCGCUGCUAUGACUCGACACGCUUCCAUGGAUAAAUUGGGAAGGCGAUCUUAAGGGCAGCGCUUAUAGAAAAUAGAUUCACCAAACAAUUACAUUAUUAGAAAACAAAAAUGUUGUCUGAAAAGCCGUAAAGAACGAAGAACCCUAAUGACUGUGGAAACGAAACGAGGGUAUAUAUAGUCUCA